AUGGGUGGCCGGUUGAUUUCUUUGCCGGAUCUCCCAGCUAGGGUUGCCGCCGCCGCCGCCCUCACCCGCGCUCGUGCCCUCUUCAACUCCGGCUGCGAGCUCCACCCCCUCCAGCGGUCCAGCCUUCGGAGCACACGGGUGCGGAUCAAAGGCAGUGGUGGACGGGCUUGUGAAGGAGCCGCAGGAGGCGCUGGACGAGGACAUCCAGGCCGCAUCAUGAAGGAGCGGGAGAUGCAGAGCUACAUCAGGACCGCGAGCGCGAGGUCGCCGGGUUGUAUUACAUUGAUUGAAUAUUGCGUCAAGAAGAACGAUCGGGUAGAGCUUAUCACGGCAAGCUACAGGUCGUACCUAGCAGACAAGCAUUGUCUCAUGAAAGUUUACUUUUUGUAG
rnacentral:rRNA from 1 species